AUUGAACGCUGGCGGCAGGCCUAACACAUGCAAGUCGAACGAGUGGCGGACGGGUGAGUAAUCUCUGGGAAACUGCCUGAUGGAGGGGGAUAACUACUGGAAACGGUAGCUAAUACCGCAUACCAUCAGAUGUGCCCAGAUGGGAUUAGCUUGUUGGUGGGGUAACGGUUGACCAAGGCGACGAUCCCUAGCUGGUCUGAGAGGAUGACCAGCCACACUGGAAGUGAAGUACGGGCCAGAUGCCAACGGGAGGCAGCAGUGGGGAAUAUUGCACAAUGGGCGCAAGCCUGAUCCAGCCAUUCCGCGUGUAUGAAUAAGGCCCUCGGGUUGUAAAGUACUUUCAGCGGGGAAGCGUUAUCCGCAGAAGAAGCACCGGCUAACUCCGUGCCAGCAGCCGCGGUAAUUC
rnacentral:rRNA from 1 species